rnacentral:lncRNA from 1 species
GUAUACAGAGUGGUUAUAUACCCCCAAACAGGAGAUUUCACAUAUGAUUGAAACGUCCCUCCCACAAUAGUCACAAGAUUGCCCUGUCAGCACAGCGCUUGAUGGACACAGCAGGUAGUGGGUCUGCUAUCUCAGAGGGCGUAGCAGGAGGCAAGUCUAUUGUCUCGAGCUGGGCGGUCACAGGAGAUGCAAUCACCAACCACCCUGAACCAGACCAAGCCUCACCACAAGAGCCACGCCUAUGACCUAUGCCUUCUUUUUAAUGCUAUGAUGUCUCCAGGAAGAGCUUAGGCCUUAUUACCAUAACCUGCAGUGUAUGCGGAAGCAUGUUUUCCAUCUGAUCCUGUGUAAGCCAAUACCCUUCUCUCCCUUUUGAAUAUUUAUUCAUCAUCCAAAACAAAAGGUCCCUGCUCCCCUUUGUUUGAGGAUGCCAUGACUUUGGAAAUGAUUCUGCAUGGUCUCCUAUUUGCUGCAAAUGUACUUUACUUUAUGAGACAACUGCUUCUGGUGGAGAGUGAUUUAGCUCGUCAGGAGGCAAACCCACUUUGGUUCAGUAACAACCUCACCAAAUUCACCCAAGUCCUAACACCAUGUGCUCUAGAGUUCGACUUGCUGUGUUUGAAUCCUGGCUCUGUCAGUGACUAAUGGUUUGAACUGGGGAAAUUCGCUGAAGCUGCCUGGUCCUCCCCUGUUUCCUCACCUGUUUAGUGUAGGAUUUUUGUGUAGGGUGUAGGAGUGUUGUGAAGUUUCU